rnacentral:rRNA from 1 species
CCUACGGGAGGCAGCAGUGGGGAAUAUUGCACAAUGGGGGAAACCCUGAUGCAGCGACGCCGCGUGAGCGAGGAAGUAUUUCGGUAUGUAAAGCUCUAUCAGCAGGGACGAAAAAAGACGGUACCUGACUAAGAAGCCCCGGCUAACUACGUGCCAGCAGCCGCGGUAAUCCGUAGGGGGUAAGCGUUAUCCGGCUUUACUGGGUGUAAGGGGAGCGUAGACGGCAAGGCAAGCCAGAAGUGAAAGGGCAGGGCUCAACCCUGUACAUGCUUUUGGAACUGUGGUGCUAGAGUGCAGGAGAGGUAAGUGGAAUUCCUAGUGUAGCGGUGAAAUGCGUAGAUAUUAGGAGGAACACCAGUGGCGAAGGCGGCUUACUGGACUGUAACUGACGUUGAGGCUCGAAAGCGUGGGGAGCAAACAGGAUUAGAUACCCGGGUAGUC